GAUGAACGCUGGCGGCGUGCCUAAUACAUGCAAGUCGAGCGAACAGACGAGGAGCUUGCUCCUUUGACGUUAGCGGCGGACGGGUGAGUAACACGUGGAUAACCUACCUAUAAGACUGGGAUAACUUCGGGAAACCGGAGCUAAUACCGGAUAACAUGUUGAACCGCAUGGUUCAACAGUGAAAGACGGUCUUGCUGUCACUUAUAGAUGGAUCCGCGCCGCAUUAGCUAGUUGGUAAGGUAACGGCUUACCAAGGCAACGAUGCGUAGCCGACCUGAGAGGGGGAGCGGCCACACUGGAACUGAGACACGGUCCAGGCUCCUACGGGAGGCAGCAGUAGGGAAUCUUCCGCAAUGGGCGAAAGCCUGACGGAGCAACGCCGCGUGAGUGAAGAAGGUCUUCGGAUCGUAAAACUCUGUUAUUAGGGAAGAACAAAUGUGUAAGUAACUAUGCACGUCUUGACGGUACCUAAUCAGAAAGCCACGGCUAACUACGU
rnacentral:rRNA from 1 species